GAAAGCCUUCGGCUUACCCGGGAGAAGUGCAUCGGAAACUGGGAGACUUGAGUGCAGAAAGAGGAGCAGUGGAACUCCAUGUGUAGCGGUGGAAUGCGUAGAUAUAUGGAGGAACACCAGUGGCGAAGGCGGCUGUCUAGUCUGUAACUGACGCUGAGGCUCGAAAGCAUGGGUAGCGAACAGGAUUAGAUACCCUGGUAGUCCAUGCCGUAAACGAUGAGUGCUAAGUGUUGGAGGGUUUCCGCCCUUCAGUGCUGCAGCUAACGCAUUAAGCACUCCGCCUGGGGAGUACGACCGCAAGGUUGAAACUCAAAGGAAUUGACGGGGGCCCGCACAAGCGGUGGAGCAUGUGGUUUAAUUGGAAGCUACGCGAAGAACCUUACCAGGUCUUGACAUCUUCUGCCAAUCUUAGAGAUAAGACGUUCCCUUCGGGGACAGAAUGACAGGUGGUGCAUGGUUGUCGUCAGCUCGUGUCGUGAGAUGUUGGGUUAAGUCCCGCAACGAGCGCAACCCUUAUUAUCAGUUGCCAGCAUUCAGUUGGCCAUUUUGGUGAGACUGCCGGUGACAAACCGGAGGAAGGUGGGGAUGACGUCAAAUCAUCAUGCCCCUUAUGACCUGGGCUACACACGUGUUCCAAUGGACGGUACAACGAGUCGCGAAGUCGUGAGUCUAAGAUAAUUUCUUAAAGCCGUUUUCAGUUCGGAUUGUAGGCUGCAAUUCGCCUCCAGGAAGUGGGAAUCGCUAGUAAUCGCGGAUCAGCAUGCCGCGGUGAAUACGUUCCCGGGCCUUGUACACACCGCCCGUCACACCAUGAGAGUUUGUAACACCCAAAGCCGGUGAGAUAACCUUCGGGAGUCAGCCU
rnacentral:rRNA from 2 species